rnacentral:ncRNA from 1 species
GUGGUUUUGCUCUGAUGGGCUUAAAAAGGAAACAGGUGCGAUUCCUGUGCGAACACGUCGCUGUGAAGGCGGAGCCGGCUUUGUUUGCAGGCAAAAAUACCUGCGGUCACUGGCCAUACGGCUGGGAAGGCUAAAGCUAAGGCUGUGAUGCCCAAGCCAGAAGACUUGCCCGCAGCUUA